CAGCCACAGGUGAGGAAGACCAGAAGGAUGUACAUCAUGAUUUCGGAGACCACAGAGGUGAAGUCCUCUCCGCUGAAAGAAAGAGAAUGAGGCUCAGAAUAUGCAAGUCCAACAAACCCAGGGCUUUGGAGCCAUAUUUCUAAGUACAAGCUUAAGUAAGGACUAAGUCUAAACAAACUCAGAAGAUAUCAAGGGAAUUCCAAAUCCUGACUCUCCCAUUAACUGGCUUUCUCACUGACUGUCAUUGGCUGCUCAGGAGACAGGGAUGAGGUAAUGGGAUGCUGCAAGAAGCAGCACAGCAGUGGAAGGAAUCCUGGCCUCAAGGCUUGCUCUGGUGCCUGGCAGACGAACUAGCUCAGCCUUGCCGCACUUCCACCAGUUAUGCACAGGGUCCUCCGGAGGAAAAAGCCUGAGAGAGCUGGAGGUGGAGACUGUUGUGCACUGUGCUAGGGGCUGGCUGGCACCAACCAACAGUUCCAGACGGUGACCAGGAGAGGGCGUCAGGGAAAGGCGUGUAAUAAACGGGGAAUAAAGGAAUUUCAGAACAGGAGAGUACCUUAGAGAGAGCUCCCCGUCCAACCCCUUCGUUUCACACCAGAGGAGCCCGGCUCAGAGCAGGGAAGAGACUCUUCAGGAGGCCUAAGCGUCCUUCUGCAUUUUCAAAAUGGACCUACCUUCCAUUUUAGUUACCUCGUCUGACCAUUAUGUCUCUUUCUCCUUCGUUCAUUCACUCUGAGGACCGAAUCUUCGCUUAUUUUUAUCACAAUCACAUGAUUAAAAAACAAGUAGACCUGUGGCCUGGAGGUUGGUAUUCCUGGAUCCUUUU
rnacentral:lncRNA from 1 species